AUUGAACGCUGGCGGCAGGCCUAACACAUGCAAGUCGAGCGGAUGAGAAGAGCUUGCUCUUCGAUUCAGCGGCGGACGGGUGAGUAAUGCCUAGGAAUCUGCCUGGUAGUGGGGGACAACGUUUCGAAAGGAACGCUAAUACCGCAUACGUCCUACGGGAGAAAGCAGGGGACCUUCGGGCCUUGCGCUAUCAGAUGAGCCUAGGUCGGAUUAGCUAGUUGGUGAGGUAAUGGCUCACCAAGGCGACGAUCCGUAACUGGUCUGAGAGGAUGAUCAGUCACACUGGAACUGAGACACGGUCCAGACUCCUACGGGAGGCAGCAGUGGGAAAUAUUGGACAAUGGGCGAAAGCCUGAUCCAGCCAUGCCGCGUGUGUGAAGAAGGUCUUCGGAUUGUAAAGCACUUUAAGUUGGGAGGAAGGGCAGUAAGCGAAUACCUUGCUGUUUUGACGUUACCGACAGAAUAAGCACCGGCUAACUCUGUGCCAGCCGCCGCCGUAACAC
rnacentral:rRNA from 1 species